AUGACGCUAAAUAAGAAAUACUUUGUGUUUUCUUUUUCUUUUUUUUUUUUCCACCCUCACCCUGAGAUCAGAGCAAAGAAUGAGGGGGAAAAAAAAAUAAUGAAAGUCUGGCGUGGUGAAAGCAAAGUGCUUUCUCUGUUAGCAGUACAAAGAGAGAGAAGUCCCAGGGCCUUUUGUGUAUAUUCUUGGAGGAAUGCCUGUUUCCAGAAAUGCAUAAGGGAUUGUGUGAGCUCUUCGCCUGGAGUGUGGGAAGGACCUGUGACUUGUUCCUAACCCACAGAAAAGGCAUCCAAGGCCAUCUAGAAAGGAGAAAGAAAAUACCUGGGACUUCUUUGCAGAGGACUUGUGAAACUCUUUGAAAG
rnacentral:lncRNA from 1 species